UCUCGGCGCCCCCGGCCGCAGCGGGCCACGCAAGCAGGAGGGUCUCCCGCCGCCCCGCCUGGCUGCGUGACCCGCUGGGACCGGGGGCGCGGCGGGGACCCCCCUCCCGUGCUCCUCCAGCCGGUCUGGAGCAAGUACAUCUCACGCCCGCCUCAGUCUCUUCGGCCUCCAGAGCUUGGCGCGGGUCACCCCUUAUUUCGGGGUUCGUCCCUUGCAAGCUGACCCCGUUGGCCAAACCCUCAAGCCUCCACCGCCCGCCUGUAAGCGCACAGGCAGAAGCAGGGAGCGUUUCCUAGCAAAGGCAAGCGCUCCUGGCUGGCAGCCUAGAAUCCGCUGGCACCUACACAUAAGAUUCUCCUCUGAGCAUUGCUGUGACCACGUUCUAUGUUUGAAAUAAUAUGUAUUAACAAAUGAAUAAGAUCACAGCUCUGGAGCAGUAAUGAUGAAUACAUCCUUGAUUCAGAGGAAUGCUUGCUCCUUUUAGCACAAGUGUGCUAAAUCUUCCAUGAGAUGCCUGCCUGAUUAGUUUUUAUCUUUGCACAUCAUGGCUCCACUGAUUUGAAAACUUCAGAGUCUCUAGCUGUAAAAUGGAGAAUUCUGCUUCACGGGGAGAAUCUGUUCAAGUGAGAGAGCUGUGUUAAUGGCUCAUGCCUCAGGGUACUACUGAAAGCUGUUCUGAAGACGGAGAAGGACUUCAGAAUGUAGGCUGCACCUGCACUUGCUGCUCAGGCUCUGAUUCACUGAUGCUGCCUGGCUCAGGCUAGCAUAGGAGAGAAGGAAGAUCAUAUAUUCUGAGGCAGGAAUGUGAACGUUCAAAAAUACCUUUCCACUUAGAGUGGCAAUAAUUCUCUGCGGGGAAAAAUAAAUGCAUGUGCCUAAACUGGUGGGAAUCAACAGCUGGAGAAAGGAAGGAACACAGCGAGAGACAGAGCCUCUCACCUGUAGAUCACUCCCUUCCUUCGUGUACACAAGCUGCCUGCACCAGUAGUGAUACUAGCAUUGCAUGGGCAUUUUUCUGUGUUGCCUUCCCUCUUUGCAGCCCUCUUCAAACUGCAGCCAGUGCUAGAAAGGAGGGCUGGGAAGGAAAGCAAGCUCGCCUGAAUAUAUGCAAAGCCUGUCUAAGUUCACCAAAAACCAGUGGCAUGCAGAGAAUGUUAUGUUGUUCUGAGAUGUCGCAAGAGCAUACAAGCAGUGUGGGAAAAGUGCAAACAGAGCUGGUGCAGUAGGAACUACAAACGGCAUCAUGUUAUCUACCACGGGGGGCAGCUAUGGGGAGAUCUCAAACCAGAGAACACUUUUGAAAUGAAAGAAAAGAAAACCCUGGCAAGUGCAUUCAGUUUCCUUUCAGAAGCAUCAGCACAAUGAGCUACCAGCAACUCACAAGCAGUGGGGAUUUCUAGCUUCUUUAACAAGCUACUGUUUUCCUUGGAGAAGAUAAAUUGUUUGUUGUUUACUUCUCAUAUAUAAAGGAGAAUAUUGGAGAAUUGUUCGUUUUUUUCUCUAAUAAAUUUUUUUUUGACUUGCACUAUG